CAGUCGCCACGGUAAUACGGAGGGAGCUAGCGUUGUUCGGAAUUACUGGGCGUAAAGCGCGCGUAGGCGGUUACUCAAGUCAGAGGUGAAAGCCCGGGGCUCAACCCCGGAACUGCCUUUGAAACUAGGUGACUAGAAUCUUGGAGAGGUCAGUGGAAUUCCGAGUGUAGAGGUGAAAUUCGUAGAUAUUCGGAAGAACACCAGUGGCGAAGGCGACUGACUGGACAAGUAUUGACGCUGAGGUGCGAAAGCGUGGGGAGCAAACAGGAUUAGAUACCCCUGUAGUCCCUGUCUCUUAUAC
rnacentral:rRNA from 1 species